UUUCCGUAGGUGAACCUGCGGAAGGAUCAUUCAUAAUAAGUGUUUUAUGGCACUUUUUUAAAUCCAUAUCCACCUUGUGUGCGAUGUCAGGGUUGAUUUUUCUCUCGAGAGGAUCAACCCCAAACAUCAACUAUAUCUCAACUCUUUGUUUGAAAAAUAUUAUGAAUAAAACAAUUCAAAAUACAACUUUCAACAACGGAUCUCUUGGCUCUC
rnacentral:misc_RNA from 1 species